ensembl:piRNA 21ur-2074 ncRNA
AUCUUAACUUAUGAUGGGUAU